CUACGUAGCUCAGAGUUUUGAUCCUGGCUCACAGUGAACGCUGGCGGUAGGCCUAACACAUGCAAGUCGAACGGCAGCACAGUAAGAGCUUUGCUCUUAUGGGUGGCGAGUGGCGGACGGGUGAGGAAUACAUCGGAAUCUACCUUUUUCGUGGGGGAUAACGUAGGGAAACUUACGCUAAUACCGCAUACGACCUUCGGGUGAAAGCAGGGGACCUUCGGGCCUUGCGCGGAUAGAUGAGCCGAUGUCGGAUUAGCCAGUUGGCGGGGUAAAGGCCCACCAAGGCGACGAUCCGUAGCUGGUCUGAGAGGAUGAUCAGCCACACUGGAACUGAGACACGGUCCAG
rnacentral:rRNA from 1 species